rnacentral:rRNA from 1 species
GAUUAACGCUGGCGGCGUGCCUAACACAUGCAAGUCGAGCGGCAGCGAGUUUUACACUGAAUUCUGGAAGCUUCUAGUUGCAAGAGAAGAUUUAUUCAAGAAUUUUGUGUAAAAUGUCGGCGAGCGGCGGACGGCUGAGUAACGCGUGGGAACGUACCCCAAAGUGAGGGAUAACGCAUCGAAAGGUGUGCUAAUACCGCAUACGGUCUUCGGAUUAAAGCCUUCGGGCGCUUUGGGAACGGCCUGCGUAAGAUUAGAUAGUUGGUGGGGUAAUGGCCUACCAAGUCGACGAUCUUUAACUGGUUUGAGAGGAUGAUCAGUCAGACUGGAACUGAGACACGGUCCAGACUCCUACGGGAGGCAGCAGUGAGGAAUCUUCCACAAUGGGCGAAAGCCUGAUGGAGCAACGCCGCGUGCAGGAUGAAGGCCUUCGGGUUGUAAACUGCUUUUAUAAGUGAGGAUUAUGACAGUAACUUAUGAAUAAGGAUCGGCUAACUACGUG